CGGAUUGAUACUAAGCCAUGCGAGUCUUUGUAGUAAUACAAGGCAGACGGCUCAGUAACACGUAGUCAACCUACCCUAUGGACGAGAAUAAUCUCGGGAAACUGAGCAUAAUUCUUGAUAGAUCAUAAUGCCUGGAAUGGUUUAUGGUUAAAAUGAUUCGUCGCCAUAGGAUGGGACUGCGGCCUAUCAGCUUGUUGGUGAGGUAAUGGCCCACCAAGGCGAUUACAGGUACGGGCUCUGAGAGGAGAAGCCCGGAGAUGGGUACUGAGACACGGACCCAGGCCCUAUGGGGCGCAGCAGGCGAGAAAACUUUGCAAUGUGCGAAAGCACGACAAGGUUAAUCCGAGUGAUUUCUGCUAAAGAAAUCUUUUGCCAGUCGUAAAACCGCUGGUGAAUAAGGGGUGGGCAAGUUCUGGUGUCAGCCGCCGCGGUAAAACCAGCACCUCAAGUGGUCAGGAUGAUUAUUGGGCCUAAAGCAUCCGUAGCCGGCUUUGUAAGUUUUCGGUUAAAUCCAUGUGCUCAACGCAUGGGCUGCCGAAAAUACUGCAUAGCUAGGGAGUGGAAGAGGUAGACGGUACUCAGUAGGUAGGGGUAAAAUCCUUUGAUCUAUUGAUGACCACCUGUGGCGAAGGCGGUCUACCAGAACACGUUCGACGGUGUGGGAUGAAAGCUGGGGGAGCAAACCGGAUUAGAUACCCGGGUAGUCCCAGCUGUAAACGAUGCAGACUCGAUGAUGCAUUGGCAUAAUAGCCAUUGCAGUGUCGCAGGGAAGCCGUUAAGUCUGCCGCCUGGGAAGUACGUACGCAAGUAUGAAACUUAAAGGAAUUGGCGGGGGAGCACCACAAGGGGUGAAGCCUGCGGUUCAAUUGGAUUCAACGCCGGG
rnacentral:rRNA from 1 species